rnacentral:tRNA from 1 species
GCCGAGGUGGCGGAAUUGGCAGACGCACUAGAUUCAGGGUCUAGCGCCCCUUAAAGGCGUAGGGGUUCGACUCCCCUCCUCGGCACCA